rnacentral:sRNA from 1 species
GUGGCGGCCAAAGCCCUGGAGACGGGCGUGUUCGGCGCAUAUUUCAACGUGCUCAUCAACCUGAGGGACAUCACAGACGAGGCAUUUAAGGACCAGCCUCCUUCAGGAAGCCAAGACUCAGGCUGCACUGGUGCUGGACUGCUUGGAGACCCGGCAGGAGUGACGAAACCCUGGGAACAGCAGGACCUUCGACGCUGGAAGGAGGAUAGUCUUGCUUCCCAGGUGCAGCUCCCGGUGGGUCUGGGCAGCCCCACGGAGCACGGUACUGGCCCCGUCCUCAGUUCCCGUCCACCUUUCAACCAGCAGCUCCUGGGAGACUUUUCCUCCCAGCCUCAGCUCCCUGCCAGGCCAGCUUCCUGUCUCCAGAGAAGUUCUCCAUUAAAAAACAAUUUAACAAAUCA